rnacentral:rRNA from 1 species
UACGAAGGGGGCUAGCGUUGCUCGGAAUGACUGGGCGUAAAGGGCGCGUAGGCGGCGAUCACAGUCAGAUGUGAAAUUCCUGGGCUUAACCUGGGGGCUGCAUUUGAUACGUGGUUGCUUGAGUGGGGAAGAGGGUCGUGGAAUUCCCAGUGUAGAGGUGAAAUCGUAGAUAUUGGGAAGAACACCGGUGGCGAAGGCGGUUCUCUGGGCCUUACCUGACGCUGAGGAGCGAAAGCGUGGGGAGCGAACAGG